UCCGUAGCUUGCUUGGUAAGUUUCUUGUGAAAUCCUACAUCUCAAGUGUAGGGCGCGCAAGAAGUACUGCUAAGCUAGAGACUGGGAGACAGAAGAAGUACGUCUAAAGUAGCGGUAAAAUGUGUUAAUCUUAGACGGACUCACAACAGCGAAGGCAUCUUCUGAGCACAGUUCUGACAGUAAGGGAUGAAGGCUAGGGGCGCAAAACGGAUUAGAUACCCGUGUAGUCCUAGCAGUAAACACUGCACACUAAACAUCAGGACCUCUUCGAGAGGUUUUGGUGCUGAAGGGAAGCCGGAGAGUGUGCUACCUGGGAAGUAUAGUCGCAAGGCCGAAACUUAAAGGAAUUGGCGGGGGAGCACA
rnacentral:rRNA from 1 species